GAUGAACGCUGGCGGCGUGCCUAAUACAUGCAAGUCGAGCGAACGGACGAGAAGCUUGCUUCUCUGAUGUUAGCGGCGGGCGGGUGAGUAACACGUGGAUAACCUACCUAUAAGAGUGGUAUCACUUCGGGAAACCGGAGCUAAUACCGGAUAAUCUUUUGAACCGCAUGGUUCAAAAGUGAAAGACGGUCUUGCUGUCACUUAUAGAUGGAUCCGCGCUGCAUUAGCUAGUUGGUAAGGUAACGGCUUACCAAGGCAACGAUGCAUAGCCGACCUGAGAGGGGGAUCGGCCACACUGGAACGGAGACACGGUCCAGACUCCUACGGGAGGCAGCAGUAGGGAAUCUUCCGCAAUGGGCGAAAGCCUGACGGAGCAACGCCGCGUGAGUGAUGAAGGUCUUCGGAUCGUAAAACUCUGUUAUUAGGUAAGAACAUAUGUGUAAGUAACUGUGCACAGCGUGACGGUACCUAAUCAGAAAGCCACGGCUAACUACGUG
rnacentral:rRNA from 1 species